CAAUAGCGUAUAUUAAAGUUGUUGCGGUUAAAAAGCUCGUAGUUGGAUUUCUGCCGAGGACGACCGGUCCGCCCUCUGGGUGUGUAUCUGGUUUGGCCUGGGCAUCUUCUUGGAGAACGUAGCUGCACUUGACUGUGUGGUGCGGUGUCCAGGACUUUUACUUUGAGGAAAUUAGAGUGUUUCAAGCAGGCACACGCCUUGAAUACAUUAGCAUGGAAUAAUAAGAUAGGACCUCGGUUCUAUUUUGUUGGUUUCUAGAGCUGAGGUAAUGAUUAAUAGGGAUAGUUGGGGGCAUUCGUAUUUAACUGUCAGAGGUGAAAUUCUUGGAUUUGUCAAAGACGGACUACUGCGAAAGCAUUUGCCAAGGAUGUUUUCAUUGA
rnacentral:rRNA from 1 species